UACGUAGGGGGCAAGCGUUAUCCGGAUUUACUGGGUGUAAAGGGAGCGUAGACGGCAGUGCAAGUCUGGAGUGAAAGGCGGGGGCUCAACCCCCGGACUGCUCUGGAAACUGUACGGCUGGAGUGCAGGAGUGGUAAGUGGAAUUCCUGGUGUAGCGGUGAAAUGCGUAGAUAUCAGGAGGAACACCAGUGGCGAAGGCGGCUUGCCGGACGAUGACUGACGUUGAGGCUCGAAAGCGUGGGGAGCAAACAGG
rnacentral:rRNA from 1 species